UUCCUACAAAAUUUGGUUUUCCCUUUCCCUUUACUUUUUGUUAAUCUAUAUUUUGAACAGUUUUACAAAUUCUCAAUUUCAUUUUAAAUUUGCAAAGAUUGCUUUUGUGAUUAUGUCUGCAUCUUUACUAGUCAAUCAAGAUUUGAGUUCAGUGGUUUAAUUUGAUUUAUAAUUGACUUGUUGUAAUAUAUUAGCAUCUUUCUGAUAGCUUUCGCAACAACUAUGUGCUUGACUCGAUUCAUCGUAGCUGUUCUUGUGACACUAGAUGAAGAUGACGGUGAAAAUAAUCAAAUUCUUAUGAAAGUAUUCAUAACUAUAAAAAAUCAAAUCGCCGAAGUACCAAAGAUUGAAGCUAUGGAAACAAGCAGAUCAAAGAUCAUAUACAAUCUGCUAUACAAAAUCAAGAAGACACGUGAGAUCCAUACAUAUUAAAAGCAUAUACAAUCUUCUAUACAAGAUCAAGAAGACACGUGACAUUACUCCAUUAGUGUGUGUGUAAUAUAUACAAUCUUCCAUAUAUAGUAUAUGUUAUUAAUUAUGUAUAUGUCAGAACAUUAGUGUUAUAUUAUUCAUUAAUUUCGAACUCUAUAUAGGUAGAUAAUGUAGAGUUAUGCCUCCCGCUCAUCAACACUCUCAAGUUUAUGACCAAACAUUCGAGUUGUAUUGUCAAUAGAAUUGGUUUCACCUAUGGAUAUAACUGAAUGAUUGUUUGCAGGGAAAAGGUUGUAAUUUAGAUCGAUUUUCGGUUAUCUAAAUUGUAAAAAAGUGAUAGUAAUAUUUUUAUUAAAAAUUAUUUUGAGAGAAGAUUUUUCCUUGUUCUACACA